GAUUGAACGCUGGCGGCAGGCCUAACACAUGCAAGUCGAGCGGAUGAAGGGAGCUUGCUCCUGGAUUCAGCGGCGGACGGGUGAGUAAUGCCUAGGAAUCUGCCUGGUAGUGGGGGAUAACGUCCGGAAACGGGCGCUAAUACCGCAUACGUCCUGAGGGAGAAAGUGGGGGAUCUUCGGACCUCACGCUAUCAGAUGAGCCUAGGUCGGAUUAGCUAGUUGGUGGGGUAAAGGCCUACCAAGGCGACGAUCCGUAACUGGUCUGAGAGGAUGAUCAGUCACACUGGAACUGAGACACGGUCCAGACUCCUACGGGAGGCAGCAGUGGGGAAUAUUGGACAAUGGGCGAAAGCCUGAUCCAGCCAUGCCGCGUGUGUGAAGAAGGUCUUCGGAUUGUAAAGCACUUUAAGUUGGGAGGAAGGGCAGUAAAUUAAUACCUUGCUGUUUUGACGUUACCAACAGAAUAAGCACCGGCUAACUUCGUG
rnacentral:rRNA from 1 species